AGCCCCAUUACAGAGUGCCAGCUACUGAGUAUGUAUUUAUCUGUUCAAAGUUUGGGAGAUCAAAUGGAAGAUUACUGUGGGGAAGAAGUCGUGCUUGAUAGUGAUGAUGAGGGAAGGGGCCUAACCGAGGCAGCAAAUUUGGUGAAUGGGCGCUUUCGUGUGAUUGGUCGAUUUUCUGGCAGGGGUUCGAUAGGCUCGUUGAAAAGGAAGCAAGUUUCUGCUGGUUGUUUCCGUAAGCUCGAUAACAAGGUUACUGAGCAAUUGCGUAUUCGUUAUGAUUCAGCUAGAAGUGAUAUGUGCUACGAAAAAAGUGAUGCUGGGAGGGCUUCUCUUUCCAAUGGUAGUAGUUUUCAAGAUUGCUGUGUUUCUGUGGAUAGUUUACCAUCCAGCUUAACAGAUCAAAAACCAAUUCCCACAAGUGCGGAAGAAAUUCAUAUGGACGAAGAAUUCCAAAAUAUGGUGAGAGAAAGUCUUGUGGAAGAUUCACUUGAUGAGAGAGAGUCACACGAGUCUAAAUUCAUGGAUACAGGGAAGGAUGCAAAUAAUGACUGUGAGUAUGCAGGGCUUAAUUACAUUCAAUCUCCAGAAGUUUCAGAAUCACAUGAUAAGGCCCUGGAAUUUGUAGAUCGUUACCUUUCAGUUAGUGAUUUAGGAUCAAAUAAAUAUGUUGAAAGUAGAAUGACUAAUAGGAUGCAAUCGCCUCCCUCUUUGUGGUCAAAGGGAUCUCAAUGUUUGGCAAGGAGAGUAAACCUUGGGUGUACUCUUAACAAGUCGACGCCUUUUGACUGGGUAGAAAAUCCAAUUGAGAAGUUUGAGUAUGCUUCCCCAAGAAUGAAUAAGGGCUCAGUCUAUGGAUCUGAAGAUGAUAAAUAUGGAUAUGUAUCUGUUAAUCAAGAUUCUGGCAAAGUUAAAAUGCAAAAUGAAAUCCCUGUUCCCCAGUCAGAGGAGUUGCCAGGAAGUAUAUUGAGUACCGACAACUUUGAUAGAUUUGUAUUCAAGUCUGAUGGCAUUGACAAAAUGGGGUCAAAUUCUGGGAUUUGUGCCACACAUGAUUCGUCGGAGUUGGACAAACAGUUUGAUACAGGAUUAUCAUUGCAAAAUGGGGAAAACGAUGAAGAAUGGAUGCUUAAUCCGGAUGCAUUUGACGCUGGCUUGAACACUCAAAUGGCUGCUGAAGCUAUGGAAGCAUUAAUGCAUGCAUCUCCUCUCAUGGUUGAUGCUUGUUCUGCGCAUCAAGGUUCAGAGAACACAAUUCUGGAUUCUCCUAAUAAUGUAAAUGAGAAGAAUAACUCAAAAUAUCUAGCCAGUUAUGAUGAGGCCUUUGUUGGUUGGAGAUGCAAAGGGAAGCGCUCGAAAUGUGUGAAGAUUUCUACUGUUGACCACACAAAUGUGUCUUUGCCGGCUGCAAAACAACUUAAGAACAAGAGGCGCACUGUUUCUAAGUUGCUACUAAGCCAAAGCUUGUCGACGAAGAAACUGAUGACUGGAAAAGUCUUAAAUGGUAGAAACAGGAGAAAAGUCGAAGGGGCCUACUUGAAGUUGAGUUCUGAUUCAUCUUCUGAAGUCAAAACAGAUACAGCAAAAAGAGAAGAGAAUUUUAAUCUUGAGUUGGCUGAUAGGACUUUGUCAAAGAUGAAUAUGUGGAAUUAUCCGAAAAGGAAAAGAUCAGGUCAUUGUCUGCCAUGCCACUCAAUUAGAUCAAGUAAUCAGUGUUCUCCAUGUACAGCAAUUGAGAAUAUUGUGGAAAAACAUCCUGUAGUGAAUGAGGAAGCAAACAACAGGGUAAAAGAGCUUUUAGUCUAUAAAAGGCGACGCAAAUUUUCAGUAGAAAGAGAACAAAUAGGAAGUGCUUUAAAAUUGGCUGGUCAUUUGUAUUCAUCCGGUAAGGAUAAUGCAGUUUCUGACGGAUUACAGAAUUCCGUUGAAUUUCAUACCUCUGUUGCUCCAGGUAAAAUGAAGUCAGAUUCUAUUACAUUACAAGUACUUGAGAAUACUGAUAAAAGCAAGCAAGCGUGCAAUCCUAUUUCCAAGUCUCCCCUAAUGAAAGAGCUUAUGAGAUUGGGUUACACCGAAUCACUACCCGAUUUUCCGUCAAAAGAUUCGAGAAGGCGAAGAGCUACUGAAAAGGUUUCCAUCCUGUUCAGCCAAAACUUGAACACGAGCAUACUCAAAAAGCAGAAAAAGAUUGUGGCAAGAUUGGGAUUUUCUACUGCAUCUUGUUGCUCCGAUGCAACACAUUUUGUAACCGAUAGAUUUAUGAGAACAAAGAAUAUGUUGGAAGCCAUUGCUCUUGGGAAACCUGUGGUGACUCACUUAUGGCUCGAGAGCUGCGAACAAGCUGGCUGUCUUAUUGAUGAGAAGAGUUACAUUUUGAGGGAUGAGAAAAAGGAAAAAGAAAUUGGAUUCAGCAUGACUGUUUCUCUCAGUCUUGCCAGCCAGCAUCCACUUUUAAAGGGUCGUGAAGUCUUGAUUACACCUAAUGUAAAACCUGGUAUGGAUGUGGUCAAGGGUUUGGUCGAGGCAGUUCACGGGCAGGCACUGGAAAAUAUACGGAAUACGAAAACGAAGGUGAUUGCUGAUGAUUUACUAAUCCUCUCAUGUAAAGAAGAUUAUACAACUUGCUUACCAUUUCUCGAGAAAGGUACAAUUUUAUCUCUUUCUUGUUUGUUUAUUUAAUUAUUUAUUUUCCGUUUUGAAUGAAGUGGCUUUACGUUUCUACCCUGCAGGAGCUUCCAUUUACGACUCGGAGCUUUUGCUGAAUGGAAUCAUCACCCAUAAACUGGAAUAUGAGAGGUAUAAGCUUUUCAAAGAUUUUAUGCCUCCAAGGAGAAAUGGCAAAAUGGCAUGUGCAGCUUAAAUUUCAUAUAAGAUUCUAUUCCCA